UUGCAUUUUUAAUGAAUAAAGCGAAUUUUCGGUGCUUUGUUUCGUCAACAACGGUGCAGAAAUUAAAGGCUUGAUUUUUCUUUUGAAACUGAAGGGAAAAUUAAGCAGCGGGCCGACAACCGUAGGGAUGGUAUCCACAGAUGAAAGGAUUUUUACUCUCCCUUGUGUCUACUGAUUCCAUCUCACAUUU